rnacentral:rRNA from 1 species
UACAGGGGGUGCAAACGUUGCUCGGAAUCAUUGGGCGUAAAGCGCACGUAGGCGGUUCGUUAUGUCGGAUGUGAAAGCCCUUGGCUUAACCGAGGAAGUGCAUCCGAAACUGGCGAGCUAGAGUACGAAAGAGGAUCGCGGAAUUCCCGGUGUAGAGGUGAAAUGCGCAGAUAUCAGGAGGAACACCAAUGGCGAAGGCAGCACUCUGGGACGGUACUGACGCUGAGACGCGAAAGCGUGGGGAGCAAACAGG